rnacentral:misc_RNA from 1 species
GGAAGUAAAGUCGUAACAAGGUCUCCGUUGGUGAACCAGCGGAGGGAUCAUUACCGAGUUUACAACUCCCAAACCCCUGUGAACAUACCUGUUUUGUUGCUUCGGCGGUGCCCUCGCUCUCGCGGCGAGGCCCGCCAGAGGACCCAAACAAACUCUUUGACUUUGAUCUAGGAUUAUACUUCUGAGUGAUACAAAAAAUAAAAUUAAAACUUUCAACAACGGAUCUCUUGGUUCUG